GGAAUUUUGGACAAUGGGGGCAACCCUGAUCCAGCCAUUCCGCGUGAGUGAAGAAGGCCUUCGGGUUGUAAAGCUCUUUCGCAAGGGAAGAAAACUUAUGAUCGAAUAAAUCAUGAGGUUGACGGUACCUUGAUAAGAAGCACCGGCUAACUACGUGCCAGCAGCCGCGGUAAUACGUAGGGUGCGAGCGUUAAUCGGAAUUACUGGGCGUAAAGCGUGCGCAGGCGGUUUUGUAAGUCGGAUGUGAAAUCCCCGGGCUCAACCUGGGAACUGCGUUCGAAACUGCAAGGCUAGAGUGUGUCAGAGGGGGGUAGAAUUCCACGUGUAGCAGUGAAAUGCGUAGAGAUGUGGAGGAAUACCAAUGGCGAAGGCAGCCCCCUGGGAUAACACUGACGCUCAUGCACGAAAGCGUGGGGAGCAAACAGGAUUAGAUACCCUGGUAGUCCACGCCCUAAACGAUGUCAACUAGUUGUUGGUAGAGUAAAAUCUAUGAGUAACGUAGCUAACGCGUGAAGUUGACCGCCUGGGGAGUACGGUCGCAAGACUAAAACUCAAAGGAAUUGACGG
rnacentral:rRNA from 1 species